UGUUAAGGUUAGAGGCAGACGUUAUUUAGACGUACUAUAUCUCAUGUAUAUCAAACUGAAACCACGACAGUUCCUGUUUCCAGGGGACAGUUUAUUUCUUAACACUGUCUGGUAAAAUAAAAAACUCCAAAAAGAUAAUUCCUUCUCUUUUUGUAGCCAAUCUCGUGGAGGGGUUGAAAAACGUAAGAAAAAUAACCGGCUCUUGUUUGGCAUUAUGGUAUGUUUAAGAUAAAACAAAAGUAAUAUUUUCCAUAUAGGCUAUAAUAUUUGCCUAGCCCUUAUAAUUGUAUGACGUUUGGUAUUAUGUGAUGACUGGUGUUUAGUUUUUUUCAACUCCAAUCACUACAAAAAUUAUUUGACUUGAGCCAUCCACUAGUUGAUUUAAUUGCGAGGGAGAGGAAACCGAAGUACCCAGAGGAGACCCCCGAAGCAUGGGGAGAACAUGCAAACUCCGCACACACAGGGCAGAUGCGAGAAUGCUAAUCACUAAGUGUCUUUGGACUGGGGGAGGAAACACCUGAAGCAUGGGGAGAACAUGAAAACUCUGUGCACACAAAAUACAGAAGGACGGAAUUGAACCCCCAACUCAUGUAAUAUCCAUCCAUCCAAUUUCUAUACCGCUUAUCCUUCAGGGCCAUGGGGAGCCUGGAGCCUAUUCCAGGAGGCAUCAGCUACAAGAUGGGGUACACCCUGGACAGGGUGCCAAUCCAUCGCAGGGCACAUUCACACACCCAUUCAUACACUACGGACACUUUGCACAUGCCAAUUAGCCUAUCAUGCAUGACUUUGGACUGGGGAAGGAUACCGGAGUACCCGGCGGAAGCCCCCGCAGCACGGGGAGAACAUGCAAACUCCGCACACACAGGGCAGCGGCGGGAAUCAAACCCCAAACCCAUGUAAUAUUUCGUUUCAAAUAUCAGACAAGUUCAACCACACUUUUGUGUUUGUACUAAGGACCAAAUACCACAUAAAUGCUCCACCUAGCGGCGACAAAUAGCUACUGCAGGAACAUUUUAUGGUUGACCGAAAUACAUUAAAAAUAAGAAAGUAGUGAAUAAAAUGGCACACAGUCUCGUUAAUGUUGUUGUUUUGUUUUUUGUUUUUUUUUACCUAUAAAACUAUUGUUUUCAAAAUGAAUUAUUUAUACACUUUUGGCAUAUAAAAUUAAUACAUAGCUUCAUAGUAAUGGAUAUGUGUGUGUGCGUGCGUGCGUGCGUGCGUAUUGUGACUGAGAAUUCCUGCGCUGGAUGAAUAGGACACUCGGAGCGUGUGUCUCGGUGCGGCUCUGCAGGGAUGAUGGCGGCGCCUGGAGCGCAGGACCAGAGCGCAUUAAAGUCUGAACUGAUGGCGGACAAGCAGCCGGAGCGGAGGAAGCUGAACGCGGACGCGGUGACGGUGCUCCUGCGCUUUCCGGAUCUGGAUGAAAAUAGCGGACACAGACCGGUUUUCAGAUCUUUGGAGGACUUCGUCGCCGACUUCGACGAGAAGUUAAACGCGUGCUUUGGAAAUUUCGACGCUAAACCCGAACUAAUAGACGGCGUGAAUCCUCUGACUGAGAGCACUGUGUUAAAAAACGACGAGAUCUGGAAUGCUCUGACCGAUAACUAUGGAAAUGUCAUGCCAGUGGAAUGGAAUCAGUCUCGCACCCGCUCACUUCACCUCCCCGUGCUGAACAUUGAGGACAGGCCAAGGGUGGAUAAUGUGAAUCUGGAUGUGUCUGAUGAAGAAGAGAUGAGGGAACAGAUGGACAUGCACUCCAUCAUUGUGUCCUGCAUUAAUGAUGAGCCUUUCCUCACUGCAGAACAGGUGAUUGAGGAGAUAGAGGAGAUGAUGCAGGACUCUCCAGAAAUGCAAGCAGAGCAGAAUCCUAUUCAGUCAAACCUGAUACACAGAUCCACUAGUCACAGCUAUGAGGAAAGAGUGAGGAAUCUCAGUGUCACAGAGCUGAAUGAGUUAUUGGAGGAGGUGGAGACGGCGAUCUGCCACUAUUCUGAAGAGCUUGUGCGGCACCUGGCUCUUAGAGACGAGCUCGACUUUGAGAAGGAAGUGAUGAACAGUUUCAUCUCUGUGCUGAUAGAUGUACAGAACCUUCAGAAGGAGCACAAAGAACUCCUGAAAAAGAAGAGGAAAGUAAAGAGUGGAGUCAGACAGCAGAACGGCAGACUACAGAGAUUACCUGCAAGUCGCUUCAGCAUGGAGAGCAUCUCUACUGCUAUUCAAAAUGGCUUCCGCCAAACUUUCGGGAAUAUGGGAGGGGAGAAACAGUACCUCACUACAGUCAUUCCAUAUGAGAAGAAAGAUGUGCCUCCAUCAGUCGAAGAUCUUCAGGUUCUCACAAAAAUUCCCUGGGACAGGCUCCAGGCUCCCCCGUGGCCCUGUGCAGGAUAAGCGGUAUUGUACAGUAUGUACACUAUGAAUGUGAUUGUACAGAGGAUAUGUUUAUCAGCUCUGUUGCAGUAUUUUUUCCAAAGACCACAGCCCCAAUACAGUAAUAUAAAAAAGUUAGUAAAGCUUUUCUGCCUCAUUAUUUCUUCUUUCAACAGUUCUUCAAGCCAUGAGGGAUGACAGUGACAAAGUGCCCAGUCUUUUGACAGACUACAUCCUUAAAGUGCUUUGCCCUUCCUAAUACGGAGGUAAAGAAUUUGUUGAUGAAAGACUGAAUUUCCACACCGUGAAAGAUUUCCAGAUGGAUGUUGUUACUGUGAAUUCAUUUCUACUUUACUUGACCCUGUUUACACCUCUGUAUAAGGCAAUCUCCUCUCUGUCCCAUUGCUUGGUUGUCUGCAAGUAUGAAGUGAUUGUUUCCAUUUGCUACUUGUUCACUGUUUAUAAGGUAAUGCGUUAUUAUUUAACUGAGUUCCAUGUUACUCUCCAUGCUGUAUUAUGGCGUGUUCAGCUCAAACAAAACUCUAAGUGUAUUUUUUUUCCAAUGAAAGUGCUCUUAUAACCACCUCUUGCAACAAAGAUAUGUUUAACCUUAGUCCUGAUUUAUGGACAGUGCAUGCAGAAUGAUUUCUUCAGCCUUAUGUGUGUGUGUGUGUGUGUGUGUGUGUGUGUGUGUUGUCCAAAGGGGUGUUUUAGUUCCAAUCCUAAGGGUUGAAUAGUUCUUACUGUAUGUGUCUUGCAAAUAUGUUAAACAGGUGUUGCUGUUCUCAAAUGCUAUUCAUUCAUAGAAAAAUAAUGAAACUAAUACAUUAACAAAAGUUUGGUUCAAACUUUGUAGGCAGUUUUUAAUAUUUUUGCUGAGACCUAUUUGGAUCUUAUCGUCUUAAUGUCAGAUUGAUACGAACAAAUGAUUGUGGCGUGACAUGGUGGCAUAGUGAGCAGCAUUGCCACGUGACAGCUCCAGGGUCCCCAGUUCAGGUUACUGUCUGUGCAGUGUUUCGUAUAUUUACUCUGUGCUCUCUAGUUUCCUCUUACCUCCCAAAAACAUGAUAGUAGGUUAAUUGGCUACUCUAAAUUGCCUCUAUGUCUGAAUAUGUUUGUGCAUGGUGCCCUGUGAUGGACCGGUGUCCCAUCCAGGGUGUAUUCAGACACUUAGUGUUCCCUGGAUUGGCUCCAUAGUGAUCAGGAUAAAAUGCCUACUGAAGAUGAAUGAAUGAAUGAAUAAUAAAUGGCAGAAUUAUUCCUCCUAUCAUUUUCACUAUGUUUGUAUCAAUGUUGGUUUGAUUACAGUUAGUGAUAUAACAAGCUUAUAUAAUAUAAUUGUUUUGACUACUUUUAUGUUUUUACUUAUUUCUGUGAUAUUUAUUGCUGUGCAAGAUGUACCUAUUAAUUUAUGCUUUCUGACACUUAAUAUGGUUUCCACCUAAAACAAAACAAAGCAAAAAUUCUAAAAUCAAAACAUAUUCUUCCUCUUUCGUUAAGGAGCAUUCUAUUUUACAGUUAUUUCUUCUUAACCAUCACAGCUUUGCUUUGAUUUGUAUUUUGAGUCUGUAAGAAACAUAAUAUAACUGUAUGAGGAACACUGACCAUGGAAGGAAUUCUCUCCAGCACAACUGGCUUUGUGUAUGUGGUUAUUUUUUGACUCACUGUAUAUGGAGCUUUUUGUAUUUAGAGGUUUUACCUCCAAGUGUUUUCUAUGGCUUCUCUAUUUAUUUCACCAUGACCAAUGCUUGUUUUCGGUGUUUUCCAAAUGUUUGCAUUUGCUCUCUCUUUUUGCUUAUUGCUGAUUUUUUUUUAUCCACGUCCUAUUUUCAGCGUUUCAGUUUUUCUUCGUUGAGCUCUAAAUGUGGGUUGUUUUGUAAACGACCCUUGUCUCAACAUCACUUUGGAAUGUAGCUACAAUCUAGACCACUUUGCUGAUUUAUGAUACUCCUAAGUAAUGUUAAGGUCUGGCAUUCCCUCCAAGUACGAUUAUAUUAAACAGAGGUUAAGCUCUCAUUUUUGCCACUCCCCAAAACAUCUACUGGUGGGUAUACUGUAUGGUACGUUUGUAAUAUGGCCCAGCAAACCAUUAUAUGCUUUAUAUACAAACCAUAUGCUUUGGGUUUGUACCCUCCAGUUAUAGCAGUUCUAGUGAUAGUAAUGUAGAUAUUUACCUGUGAAACUGUAUAUCAUAAAUGUAUACGGUUCUGACCAUGGUACAUGUUUAGGUAAUUUCUAUAAAUGUUUGUGUUUACACUUCCUUACUUCCCAUGAGUAGACCAAAAAAACUGAAAGAUAAACAAAGUACAAACAUCAUUAUUUAUUGAACAUACAGGUGCUUUUGGUUUCUGGUCAGAUGGCUUAAUUGAAAGCUUGGAUUCUGCUACUACAGACAGGCAAACGUCCCCCAUAUUUGGAGGACACUGAACAAAGAUUAAUAAAAACAAAUUGCAGGGAGAACCAUUACCUCUUUAUCCAGGAAUACCACAGCCUGUCCUCUUGUCUGGUGGGUUUAUACCAGUCCAUCAUGCAGUCAUAGCUUUAUCAAUAGGCAAUGUCCAUGACACCAGCAAGCACGCUCGCUUUUAAUUUACUCAGCCGAAAAAAAAAAGAUAGACGUUUAUACAAUAGCAACUCUACAUAAUGUCAAACAAAUCUACAUUCAAACCACAAAGCGAUGCUGUACCAGGGCAGUGUCUGAGUCAACAUAUCAUCAGCCUGCUGUUUCAUAAAGGUCCCCAUCCACUACAGCGAGUUCAAUAUCAUUCCAACUCAAUGCCAGACUCUUCUGCAUGAGAAAGAAGUCAUAUGAGCAAUAGAUGCCCUUUUGAAUGCAUUGAGCCAGAAGGGAGAAGGGUUUAGCUUCACUGUUCAUGUCACUUGUCUGAUCAGUGCCUCGUUUCUCUUGUAGAUAUACAGUAUACAUUUAAAUUAUACAGGUAGCAGCAGCACCCCUGAAAGUGGGGAGUUAAGGGGCAGAGGGGUGGGAGAACCAGCGGAGGGUUAUUUGAGAGGAUCACCGUGCAGAUCCUCACUAUUCCACUAUAGUGUCUCUGCUCUGGGUCCUUUUGCGACGCUGUUCUGUUUUGUUCCUGCUGUUGUCCUCCCGGGUGCCCAGCUCUCUCUCCCGCUCUCGCUCUCUCUUCCGCUCUCGACGGCCCUCGCUGUUUGUCUUCUCCUUUCGAUUGUUGCGAUUCUUCUGCUCUCCUUUAUGUGGGCCUUUGUCUCUCUUCCCUAAUAAAACAAGCAUUAAUAAUGUUAGUGUUCACAGAGUCUUUUUUCAACUCCAAGUAAAGUUUUUGGUUUUUUUUCUACGUUCUAUGGAAGCACAUAAACCGCUCAACUAUGUCAUCUCUUCUUUACUAUAGCAGUCUAAAAUAGUUAACCAUUUUAAGCUCAGUAUCUCUCUUGUAACUUGAAAUCUUAUUAGUCAUUCUACUAUUCAUUUUACUGUAGCUACUGAAUAAUUCACAGCACUUACUGAAUAAUAACUGAAUAAUAAGCUGCGGGUUAUAUAGGUGCUGGAGUAUACCUACAGUAUUGGCUAAUGAUUAAACAUACAGUACAUUUUCUUGAGUUGUCGCUCUGGUAAAUUUCAAGAAAUUUAAAUGGACUUAUUAGUCUCAUAGUGCUAUAUAUAUAUUAAAUAUUUAAGAUGAAUAAUGAAUAACACAUUACGUCGUUGUAGUCAAUGCAGACGCUGUGUUCCAACAAACCACAAAAUGAUAGUCUUGUUUAAUAACCGUUCUCAUUUUUUAAGCAGUACACUUGGCAAAUCUUCCCUAUUCUGAUUUGUAAUUGUCAAAAAAUAGAGGAUCUUAAAAUAAAAUUCUGUUGAUGUUACUUUAUCUGGUGUUGCUCAACACUCCCAUCGAGCCAAUUUCAAUUCCUGCCGGAGGCUUAUCAGUGGAUGAGUGGAGCAAGGCUGAGUUCUGUUGUGUGGAGGAUUGGAAAAGUGCUGAGGUGGACACCCAGCUGCCUCCCCCUGCUUGCAUCCCUCCACUCGGACUCGAUUAAUCAGUGCUGCUCUCUUUGCUGCUAGGGGGAUCAGGGCAGACUGCCCACUGCAGCCCACAUUGACCUGCACAUUCCUGGGGUUCGGCCAGACCGAUACGGGUCCCUACCAGCUAUGGCUGUUUAAAAAAUGUGCACAAAUAAUGAAGGGUGAAAGUGUCGGCCGUGAGGAGACACAACUGCUCCUCUAUCUCUCACGCUCUCCUUGAGUAGGCAGACCCCACCAUGCCUCCCACAGACUUGAGUCAGUUGGGAUUGUUAUGAGAGAGCUGUCUCAUUUCAGUUGCGACUGAUCAGCCGUCUCUCUCUCUCUCUCACACACACACACACACACACACACACACAAUAAUUCCAUGCCCAUCACUCACUCACACUGACACCCCCUCCCUCUCUCCCGGCUCUUUAUACACAGGAAGUCCACUCUGCACACAUUGUUUUCUUUGUCAUAACGAUUUAGAGAUCAGUGGAUUAGUCAUAAUCUCUGCAUUUCCUACAAACCAAGCCAUAACACCAUCAGGGUGCUGCUUGGAUCAUUAUGGAUAUGUUUAUUGGGUCUAUUUCAAAGCUAGAAGGUUGUCUACCAUUUCUAUAAACUGUCAAGCGAUGCAUUGAUUCCAAAUGGGAUAUCAUUAUACAGGCAGUUUCUUCAAGAAUAUAACACAUUCUUCGGCAUCUGGUCACCAUUGCCGGAGCAGAUGGAAGGCCUUGUUAGAUGAUCUGGAUGAAGGAUUGGUGGGGGAGUCCAUUUAAAGUUGGAUAUGUACAAAACAGCCAUGUGAAAAUGGAUCUAUUCAUCACGCAUGUAUUAUCAACAAACUAGCCGGUGCCUGAACCUCACAGUCCUCAAAAACAUGUUGCAACCCUUAAAAGCAAGUUGGCUGCCAAAGCUUGGCUUGGAGUUGCUUAUGUUUCUCAGCUCACUGUCAAAAUUUCAACAUAGGCAUCAUCUGGCACUGAUUAUUCAUAAUUUUCAAAAGAGUGAUUGAAAAAGGGUAAGGAAGGAAGGAGGACGUUGAAGACUACAUGAGAACCCAGAUGUAAUUGUCACAGGUCUUAGCUGCAGAGUGGACUAAAAUCACAGAAGGUUCUCUAUAAAAUUCUGGCCUCAAGUGCUGUUUAUGAUUGGUAAGGUCCUGACUGGUGCUCAGGACUGCAUUUCAGAGAAUAGCUCAAACCAGAUAUUAUGUGGAGGACAGAGUGCCAGAAUUACAUUAAUGAGGAUGUGGACAGGCAUGCUGUCAUCCGGGGGCUUUUGGCAGGAGCCAGGCAGGGAUUAAGGGCUCUGUUUCGUCCCAAGGGAGGAAUGCCUCAGGCUUCGACACCUUGUUGUGACUGUCCUAGCAGGGACAAAUAAAGGGACAGUAGUUUCAAGUUUAAAUUAACCCUCAAACAAAGUGCUGUUGGUAGGCCAGGACAUUUAUAUCCAGAGCAUGCAUAGUUUGAAUUGGGAACAGAUCAUAUUAAUGUACAUGAUAGCUUAAUAUAAAUCAAGUCAAAGCUACCUUACUUGAGUUGAGUUGUAUGGAUAGUUAAAUAAAUUAAACAGAUGAGGUGAAAUAGAAUGACCAGGGCACAGGAUUCUGGAUUGGAACAGGCUGCAUAUGAUAAAAGUCAGGAAGCAUGGAGGGGAAAAAGAAAUGGCAAGUUAGGGGAAAGCAGAGAGGAAGGACUUGGCAGGAGGAAAAAUAAAGCUGUGUGUGUAUGGGGGUGAGGGGGAGGAUGUAUCAGUGUCAGAGCGUUGCUUGGGAUUACUCAGGGCUGGCGGGGGUCGGACCACUGACCCUGCUGGGGUACGCAAAACAUAAACAUGGAUGGGACAGAGCCCUGGCAGAUAAUUAGUGCUCAGUAGAUGUUCCAGGAGCAGGGGCAGCUGGGUAAUCACAGUCGGAGACGAGGUCAACAACCGAGCCUGUAGUGUGUAACAUGCACCCUUGUUGGCGGCCCCAGUGGAUCAACAUCAUGCCGACUCAUUGCUACGAGCUAAUGUGCCACGGAAGUCCCUCUAGGCAAGAUGUGUGUGUGUUUCUCUUUAGUGAGAGAAAAGCAGAGAGGGGUUACAGAGUUGUUAUUCAUCUCCCACUCUUUUUGUGUCAGAUUCUAAGCCUAGGCUCUUGGCUAAGCUCUGUUUUUAAAUAUGCCGUAUAAUUCAUUAGUAUAUAAAAGGCAAAAGAGGAUCGUAAACCAGCACACACGGUCUGGGAAACUUGAUGCACAUUCACACAAGGCACCAGAAGUUAAUGAGGGAUGUGGUCACAAAGCCGGUCUGUUAUCUAUCACAAAGCUCAAUUCUACACCUUAAACAUGGCAGUCCAACCAAACGAUCAUUCAGAGCAUAAUCACAUAAAUAUGCUUUAAAAACAUAGCCAGUUCAUCCAUGUUUGUUUUCUUUUUGCUUUGGUUAGAAAGUAUUUAUGCUCCUUAAUUUAAAAGAGCUUUAUUUUUCAUGAGGUAUGAAGCUGAUCCUGAUCAAAUCUAAAUGCUGUUAAUCUUUGGCAUAACACGCAGCACUGUGGGCAAUAAAUGUUCUUUACAUAAAUCAGGUUAAGGAUUGCAAAAAUGUUAAAAUUAUGAUAGUGCCUGCUAAUUCCAGAUGUCUACGCUCCAUUAAAAAACUGUUAGAGCUGAUGAGAGAAAAGAAUGAUUUUGAAAAUCAAAAAGAAUAAAUAAUCUGCUUAUUAUGUAAUAAUUACUAUAAAUAGAAAUAAAUAUGCUUUUCACACAGAGUGACAUUAAGUUCUUUUUUGAGCUUUUCCAGAUUGUCUCUUAUUUACAUUGCUACAUGAUUUUGUGUCACACCUUAAGCAUGCAAAAGGAGCACCUAGGAAGUACGUGUAUUUUUUUAAAAAAACUACAUGCCUAAAAUCUCUGAAGCCCACCAAG